CCUACGGGUGGCAGCAGUGAGGAAUAUUGGUCAAUGGCCGCAGGGCUGAACCAGCCAAGUCGCGUGAGGGAUGACGGUCCUAUGGAUUGUAAACCUCUUUUGUCAGGGAGCAAAGGGCGCCACGUGUGGCGUUUUGCGAGUACCUGAAGAAAAAGCAUCGGCUAACUCCGUGCCAGCAGCCGCGGUAAUACGGAGGAUGCGAGCGUUAUCCGGAUUUAUUGGGUUUAAAGGGUGCGCAGGCGGAGGCACAAGUCAGCGGUAAAAUCGCGGGGCUCAACCCCGCUCCGCCGUUGAAACUGUGUCCCUUGAGUGCGCGAAGGGUAGGCGGAAUGCGUGGUGUAGCGGUGAAAUGCAUAGAUAUCACGCAGAACUCCGAUCGCGAAGGCAGCCUACCGGCGCGCAACUGACGCUCAUGCACGAAAGCGUGGGUAUCGAACAGGAUUAGAUACCCGGGUAGUC
rnacentral:rRNA from 1 species